rnacentral:rRNA from 1 species
AUUGAACGCUGGCGGCAGGCCUAACACAUGCAAGUCGAACGAUUGGCGGACGGGUGAGUAAUGUCUGGGAAACUGCCUGAUGGAGGGGGAUAACUACUGGAAACGGUAGCUAAUACCGCAUACCAUCGGAUGUGCCCAGAUGGGCUUGGCUAGUAGGUGGGGUAAAGGCUAACAUAGGCGACGAUCCCUAGCUGGUCUGAGAGGAGGACCGGCCAAACUGGAACUGAGACACGGUCCAGACUCCUACGGGAGGCAGCAGUGGGGAAUAUUGCACAUUGGGCGCAGUCCUGAUGCAACCAUGCGGGGUGUAUGAAGAAGUCCUUCGGGGUGUAAAGUACUUUCAGCGGGGAGGCGUUAACCACAGAAGAAGCACCGGCUAACUCCGUGCCAGCAGCCGCGGUAAUAC